rnacentral:rRNA from 1 species
UAAUACGGAGGGGACAAGCGUUAUUCGGAAUCACUGGGCGUAAAGGACGCGUAGGCGGGUUAUUAAGUCGGGUGUGAAAUCCAAUGGCUCAACCAUUGAACUGCAUUCGAAACUGAUAACCUAGAGUAUGGAAGGGGCAGGUGGAAUUAGUGGUGUAGGGGUAAAAUCCGUAGAUAUCACUAGGAAUACCGAAAGCGAAGGCGGCCUGCUGGGACAUUACUGACGCUGAGGCGUGAAAGCGUGGGGAGCAAACAGGAUUAGAUACCCUGGUAGUCCACGCCCUAAACGAUGAAUGCUAGUCGUCGGGGAGCUCGUCUCUUCGGUGAUGCACUUAACAGAUUAAGCAUUCCGCCUGGGGAGUACGGUCGCAAGAUUA